UGGUCUUCUAGUCUUACACUGAUUAGUAGGAACAGAUUAGAGUCAACUUGUCAUAUUUUACUAAUAGUGUAACAGUGUUUUUUAUAUAUUUUUGCCAAGAGUUUUCUGAAACCAAAAUCUGCCUUUGAGGACAGCUUGUUCAUGACCCUGAGUAAAAGGAUGCUUAUGGCAAGGCUGAGGUGCUAAAACCACACCAGCUUUUCAACAUGUCUCCAGAAAGGCACUUUCAGUUUCAUCAGAUGAAACAGGAAGAUGGCCAAAAGCAGGUGCUCCUUCCCACAGCAUCCUGGGACUAGUACCAGAUCCAAGAGAUUACUGACAAAAAG
rnacentral:lncRNA from 1 species